UCUGGUUAUUUCAAAGAAAUACCCUUAUCAUGCUUUAUGCUUUCUUGACUGAGAGGACCUAGAAGCAUUAACACGCCAGUAGCAUAAAGCACCUCAGCCACCCAGAUCUUGGUUCCUAAAUACCAUCUCCCACUAAAAAGAACCAGAGCUCCUUGGCAAAAUGGCAAAAUGGCGAUUCCAGGAAUGGGACUGGGGAAGUUUAAGAGUUCCCAGGACUACCCC